rnacentral:rRNA from 1 species
GCGGAGGAAAAGAAACCAACAGGGAUUGCCUCAGUAACGGCGAGUGAAGCGGCAAAAGCUCAAAUUUUAAAGCUGGCAUCUUCGGUGUCCGCGUUGUAAUUUUGUGAGGCAUCUCCGGGCAGGGCGCCGGCCUAAGUUCCUUGGAACAGGACGUCACAGAGGGUGAGAAUCCCGUGCUUGGCUGGCUGUCCCCGUCCAUGUGAGGUGUCUUCGACGAGUCGAGUUGUUUGGGAAUGCAGCUCAAAAUGGGUGGUAAAUUUCAUCUAAAGCUAAAUAUUGGUGGGAGACCGAUAGCGCACAAGUAGAGUGAUCGAAAGAUGAAAAGCACUUUGAAAAUAGAGUUAAAAAGUACGUGAAAUUGUUGAAAGGGAAGCGCUUGAGACCAGACUUCGGUAGGGGGUGAUCAGCCGUCCUUCUGGGCGGUGCACUUGCCCCCCUCCGGGCCAGCAUCGGUUGAGGCGGCGGGAUAAAGGUCCCGGGAAUGUGGCUCCUUCACGGGAGUGUUAUAGCCCGGGUGAAUGCCGCCAGCUUCGACCGAGGACCGCGCCCGCAAGGGUUAGGAUGCUUGGCAUAAUGGUCUUCAGCGACCCGUCU